rnacentral:lncRNA from 1 species
GUAUAUUUUUAUUUAACAGAUCUAUAACUAAUUAAACAGGGAGUAAAAUUCAUAUCAAGAAUAAAAUUUAGAACAGGUGAAUAUAUAAAACAUGAGUAAAACAAAAGUUCUAGUAAACCAGAGCCAUUUAAACAUUUAUAUAUCAGUGUCACAUUGUGGGAAAAGCUUAAACCUUAUGACAAAGCAACAAAUAAUAUGCAAGUGGAGAGUUUUUUGUUUUGGUUUGCUAGUUUGUUUAUGGUACAUGAUUUUUCCCAGGUCAUAUUAAACAUUCAAAAAUAUAUAUAUAUGUAAAUAUAACUUUUUUAUCAUUCUAAAUUGUCAGUAAAUUGUAAUAAGUGCAAAUCAAUUAGGUUUGUAAAUGGGAAUGCCUGUACCAAGUCAGGAAUAUGACAGUUGUUAUCCAUUAGUUUCAGCUUUUGAUUUUGCCAUUUUAUCAGGGACUGUCCAUUUCAAUAUUCCUAGGAGUUUGGUAUUUUUGUGAUUUAAUUUUUCUUUCAGAAGCUUAACUGUUGUACCCCUAUUUUUGACAUUUUUACUCUUUGAGUAUGUUUGUUUUGUUCAUGCAUCGUUGACAAUGUAAUGGAAUUUGAUGCGACUGUCAUACAAGUGAGAGGUUUAGCUAGCUAUAAAACCAGGUUCAAUCCACCAUUUUCUACAUUAGAAAAUGCCUGUACCAAGUCAGGAAUAUGACAGUUGUUAUUCAUUCAGUUGAAGUGUAUGAGCUUUUGAAUUUGCCAUUUGAUAAGGGACUGUCCAUUCUGAAUAUUCCUAGGAGUUUGGUAUUUUAGUGAUUUAAUUUUUUUUUCAGAAGCUUGUGACAUGUUUCUUUUUUCCUCACAACUAGUUAUAUCUUCAUUGAUGAAACCAUAAAGUAUCUGUCUCCCUGUAUUAUGUAUUGAUAUAUUAUACAAAGUAUACCAUUCUACAUCUACAGUCUCCCUGCAUUAUGUAUUGAUAUAUUACACAAAGUAUACCAUUCUACAUCUACAGUUUGAAACAGAGGAUAUAUUUUGGCUUGUCAAGAAUGAUAUGAUAUAUAUUACCUUAGUUUGCUCAUAAAGCACUAAUGUUUUUAAUUUGUAAACAAUGAUAAUUGAACAUUAAGAUAAGACAUUAAAAAUAUCAGUCUCCAAAAAAUGGUUAAUUGAUUGAAACAUGGCCAGUAAAUACUACAUUCAUGCUUUUUUAUAGCAAUAAUAUUGUUGAACAUUCUUAAUCUUGACAGCCUCAGUCUAUUUGUAAUUACUUAUGAAAUAUAAAUAGACAACACACUAAUGAUACUAUACUAUGGCAAUAAUCACCAUGAAAAAAACAACUGAUGAAGUUUAAAAGGAAGAGUAUUUGAAUCUACUUUCUUAGCCUAAUUUGUUAAGUUG